rnacentral:lncRNA from 1 species
CGGCACUCUAAACAGGGCAUUGUCCCCAGUCACUGCCCUGGGGCAUUGGGAUAUUUUUUUAGACAAGAAGAAGGCCUCCUACUGGCCCUCCUCCACCACUUCCAGCAGCAUCUGGUAUCCCAUCCAGCGCCCAACCCUGCUUAGUUUCAGAGGCAAGCUAGAAGUGGGAUGCAGGGUAUGCUGCUGGCAACACCAUGAAACACCAUGACAAACCUUACACACCUUAUAAACCUUAUACAUCAUGAAUAACCGUAUAAACCUUACACACCUUAUACACCAUGACACACCUUAUGCACCUUAUACAUCAUGACAAACCUUAUACACCUUAUUAACCUUACACACCUUAUACACAUUAAGAGGUUUUAAGGAUGAAAGUUUGGGUUAGAGCUAUAACUUUUUUGGUUGCAGAUAGGCAUUAAUUCCUACUAGGCUUGCUAAAUCAUUGAGGACUAAUGGGAGAGUGGUUUAAGCUGCAAACUCUGUCUCUGUAGAUUGUAGGUUCAAACUCUGGCUCUGUAGAUUGUAGGUUCAAACUCUGGCUCUGUAGACUGUAGGUUCAAACUCUGGCUCUGUAGAUUGUAGGUUCAAACUCUG